rnacentral:tRNA from 1 species
GGCUGGGUAGCUCAGUUGGUACGAGCGAUCGCCUGAAAAGCGAUAGGUCGCCGGUUCGAACCCGGCCCCAGCCA